AAAAUAAAGCUUGACAGUGGCUGACGUGUAGAAUAUACGAAAUGGUGUUGCCACAUUUAGACUCGCUAAGCUCGUAGUGCCGUAGCUGUACUUUACUAAGGCGUGAAGGAGAAGGUCACGUGAUGCGAAGCGGUCCAGUUCCUUAAUGAGUCCAGUGAGGACGCGCGGCUAGUUGAACGAGUCUCAUGCUUCAAGUGGCUUCAGUAAACAUCUCAGGUAAUCAAUAAAAUCAUUCCUCAUACCCGUUAAGGAUGAACUACUCAGCACAUGCUUGUCUUCCAAAUGCAGCCACAGGUAACAGAGACUGAGCUGCUAUAAAAAUUCUCGUCAGGCCAUCGCUCAGCUGCCGCUUUCGUAGCGCGUGACAGCUUAUUAUAGUGGACCGGGCGCGCGGCGGAGGCGGGAUUCCCCGCUGCGCUCACCGCGCAUGUUAGUGUUUGUCGGCGGCCGAGCGCUCCGUCCCUUUCAGUUCGGUGGCACGAAGAGCUUCGGCACCACGAAUCCGGGGUUUAAGUGGAAGGUUAAUAAAUGGCGGCGGGGGAAAAGCCGAAGCAGUAAGGAGGACUGGUUCGGUGCCGCUGGUCUCACGGACUCGCUCGGGAUCGAGAGCAAACCUGCAGCCUCCCGCUCUAUGAAGUAAGACGCACGAAAGAGUCCGAAUAGAAACGCUGAAGCGAUCAGCAGGUUACUGGUUCGUCCCUACUGCGCAGAAGGAGAGGCGCGUCACCUUGAUCUUGCUUCUUGUUGUUCUAAUACUUUGACCUGUGUCAGUAGUUGGCUCUCCUCCAUAUGGUGAUUUAUUACUCACUUCAUUACUGUAUUUCGAAGUAAAUCUUUGAAAUUAUUAAUUUGUUGUUCUGUUACAGUCUAUUCUAAAGCAAUUGCGUUUCGCUACAACGACAGAAACUUACUACUUGUGACUUUCAUUUUCAACUUUUUUCUUUCUGUUUUUAAAAUGAGUAACAUGCGAUGCGGAACUGAAGAAGUUAUUCGGGCGUAGAAAAGACAAGGGAAGAAAACAUUUAGAAGUGAAAGUGAAAACAAUACACUAAUAAUAAUAUAUAUGGUCUAUUAAAUUGCUACAACUUUAUUAAUGUCUGAAAUUAGUGGAAAAAUAAAGCCUUACACAAUGGGCUAUUCA
rnacentral:lncRNA from 1 species